CCUCAAGUAACUUAUAUUACUUCAUAUUCUAAUGUAGUUCAUUGUUAUUUUUAGAUUUAUGUUAUUAACGUUCAAUGAGAUAUUGUCCAACAGCCUCCACUUUCGAAGUGGGAAAAAAGAAAGUCGCAUGCCAAUGAUUCCCAACAAUUAAAAACUGCUGUGUCUUUUACUGCUGAACAUGAUCCAGACCACCUUGAAGUCAUAACUUCUUCCAAGAGAAUGUGGGACUAA